CACGUAGGGCGCAAGCGUUGUCCGGAAUUAUUGGGCGUAAAGAGCUCGUAGGCGGUCUGUUGCGUCCGCUGUGAAAACCCGGGGCUUAACCCUGGGCUGGCAGUGGAUACGGACAGACUAGAGGUAGGUAGGGGAGAAUGGAAUUCCCGGUGUAGCGGUGAAAUGCGCAGAUAUCGGGAGGAACACCGGUGGCGAAGGCGGCGACCUGGGUAGAUACUGACGCUGAGGUGCGAAAGCGUGGGGAGCAAACAGGG
rnacentral:rRNA from 1 species